GGGUGCUUUGACGAGGAAUCUUCUCGGGUAGUACACUCUUUGCUUUUUUAUGCUGGGAGAGCAUGUAGAACUCAAAAGAUGUUUUUGCU
rnacentral:pre_miRNA from 1 species